UACGUAGGGGGCAAGCGUUGUCCGGAAUUAUUGGGCGUAAAGAGCGUGUAGGCGGCCAGAUAAGUCCGCUGUGAAAUCUCGAGGCUCAACUUCGAGCUGUCGGUGGAAACUGUCUGGCUAGAGUCCGGAAGAGGAGAAUGGAAUUCCUGGUGUAGCGGUGAAAUGCGCAGAUAUCAGGAAGAACACCGGUGGCGAAGGCGGUUCUCUGGGCAUGACCUGACGCUGAGGAGCGAAAGCGUGGGGAGCGAACAGG
rnacentral:rRNA from 1 species